rnacentral:lncRNA from 1 species
AAUCUUUGCUUUAAAUAAAUGAAUUCUUGCGACCCUGCUAAGUUCGAUUCCCUUUCUCACUAAAUAAGUGUAAUUUGUCCCUGUUACGAGUAAUAAAUUGAUUGAUUUUCAAAAAUAAUUACCACAUAAUUUAUAUAAGAAUAAGUAUCUUGAUUUAUGCUCAAGGAUAUAUAAACAGAAGAUGUAACCUAGUAAAUUGAUGUUGUGAAAAAAAAAGAUAUAAAAGAAACUUAAAAUAAUAUGAAAUUUGGUGCUAAAUAGGUAUAUUUGAUAAACAAAGAUCCCUACUAGUGAUCCAAAUAAUUAGUAAGACUUAAUGGUUAUGGUUAUGGUUAUUGAAACUUUGGAAAGUGUAACAUAUUAUGCAAAUUAAAGAAUCAUCAAACAUGUUAUGGCACAAAAUUAAUAUCUUUUAAAAGUAUGUAAUCACAUGAUAACUUN